rnacentral:rRNA from 1 species
UUGCUAUCGGAGUCCGAUUUAGCCAUGCUAGUCGUGCGAGUUCAGACUCGCGGCACCGAGCUCGGUAACACGUGGCCAAACUACCCUACAGAGACGGAUACCCUCGGGAAACUGAGAUUAACCCGUCAUACCGAUCUCAGGCUUGAAUCGCAGAGAUCACAAAACGCCCCGGCGCUGUAGGAUGUGGCUGCGGUUGAUUAGGUAGACGGUGGGGUAACGGCCCACCGUGCCCAUAAUCAGUACAGGUUGUGAGAGCAAGAACCUGGAGACGGAAUCUGAGACAAGAUUCCGGGCCCUACGGGGCGCAGCAGGCGCGAAACCUUUACACUGCACGCACGUGCGAUAAGGGGACUCCGAGUGCGAGGGCAUAUCGUCCUCGCUUUCGUGUACCGUAGGGUGGUACACCAACAAGGGCUGGGCAAGACCGGUGCCAGCCGCCGCGGUAAUACCGGCAGCCCGAGUGAUGGCCGAUCUUAUUGGGCCUAAAGCGUCCGUAGCUGGCUACGCAAGUCCGUCGGGAAAUCCACUCGCCCAACGAGUGGGCGUCCGACGGAAACUGCAUAGCUUGGGACCGGAAGGCUCGAAGGGUACGUUCGGGGUAGGAGUGAAAUCCCAUAAUCCCGCACGGACCACCGAUGGCGAAAGCACUUCGAGAAAACGGAUCCGACAGUGAGGGACGAAAGCCAGGGUCUCCAACCGGAUUAGAUACCCGGGUAGUC